rnacentral:lncRNA from 1 species
AUGAUUUACCUUAUAUCUCUGUAUGCUGUUGCAGGAAGUUUUUGGAACAGGAGCUCCAUAUAUUACAAUGCUUGGCACAACAGGAUUUCAGUUAGGGGUGAAGUUCAGACUCCAGUGAACAACAUUAAAGACCAUAAUGCCAGAUACUUUUCAAGCAUAAAUGGAACUAAAAAACAAGCAAAAUUACUCAGGUAUCAGCUAGAGGCCCAGACUAAGAUCAAGACGUUUAUAUUCCUGUGGCCAUAUGGUCUGAGGUGCUUCCUAGCAUUAAGAAUUAUCACACUAGCAAGGGUGUGAGAAAGAGAUGGUAGUCUAAGGCAGCAUUCUGCUUUUGGUAUACAAGGGAAAAAACUGUCUCAUGAAGUGUUAUGUGAUUUGCUCACAAUAAAACCAAUACUUACUAGAAGAAAAUACA